AUGGAUCUUCAUUCAGUUAUUUUGCUCUGUGUCUUAGCUGCUGCUGUCUUUGGAAAUAUCAUCAAACCAGACCAAACACAUGUUGUUCAUGAGGAGGGCUCAGAUAUUACAUUAUCCUGUAGUUUUUCUGACUCUGGAUUUUCAGAAAAUCUCCACUGGUACCGUCAGUAUGGAAGAUCAAAACCUGAAUUUCUUGUACUCACCAUCGACUCUGCAACAGAAGCUCAGCAGUCUGUUAUAGAUCCAAGAUUCACUGUUAAUAUUACAAAAAAGGAACAAGUGGAUCUGAAGAUCUCCUCUGCUGCUGUAUCAGACUCUGCUCUGUACUACUGUGCUCUGCAGCCCACAAUGACAGCAAACACAUCAGCUCUCUACAAAAACCUGUUACAGUAA